GUGCUCCCCCGCCAAUUCUUUAGUUUCAAUCUUGCGAUCGUACUCCCCAGGCGGCAGACUUAACAGCUUCCCUGCGGCACUAGAACGGCACGUGGCCGUCCAAACACCUAGUCUGCAUCGUUUACAGCUGGGACUACCCGGGUAUCUAAUCCGGUUCGCUCCCCCAGCUUUCAUCCCUCACCGUCGGGCGCGUUCUAGCAGACAGCCUUCGCCACUGGUGGUCUUCCCGGGAUUAUAGGAUUUCACCCCUACCCCGGAAAUACCGUCUGCCUCUCUCGUCCCCUAGCUAAGCAGUAUCCCCCGCAAUCCAACGAUUAAUUCGGUGGAUUUAACAGGAGACUAACCUAGCCAGCUACGGAUGCUUUAGGCCCAAUAAACAUCCACACCACUCGAAGAGCUGGUAUUACCGCGGCGGCUGACACCAGACUUGCCCUCUCCUUAUUCCCCCAGCGUUCUAGACUGGGUAAAAGCCUUCCUCAGCGGAUGGCACUCGGGAUAGCCCUGUCAAGCUUUCGCUUAUUGCAAAGUUUUCGCGCCUGCUGCACCCCGU
rnacentral:rRNA from 1 species